UGAGGAAUAUUGCACAAUGGGCGCAAGCCUGAUGCAGCAACGCCGCGUGCGGGACGAAGGCCUUCGGGUCGUAAACCGCUUUUCUGGGGGAAGAGCAAGGACGGUACCUCAGGAAUAAGUCUCGGCUAACUACGUGCCAGCAGCCGCGGUAAAACGUAGGAGGCGAGCGUUAUCCGGAUUUACUGGGCGUAAAGCGCACGCAGGCGGCUCUGUUAGUCGGACGUGAAAGCUCUCGGCUUAACCGGGAGAGGCCGUUCGAUACUGCGGGGCUUGAGGUAGGGAGAGGAAUGCGGAAUUCCCGGUGGAGUGGUGGAAUGCGUAGAUAUCGGGAGGAACACCUGUGGCGAAAGCGGCAUUCUGGCCCUCACCUGACGCUGAGGUGCGAAAGCGUGGGUAGCAAAC
rnacentral:rRNA from 1 species